CAGGGGCGUCGAGGAGGCGGACGGCAACAAGCCCACACAUCCAACACCCUACCAGGUCUUUGAUGCUGCUGCUUCACCAAACAAUGAAAUGCUCUUGAUGCAUGAUUCAGGAGCUAGGAGGAUAUCUAUUGUCGUCGAGUUACAUGAAGUUGACUUUCCUCUGCUGCUGUUGUGCUCAGUGUGGAUGACAUUGUGCUGCCUCAGGCAAUGUCAACCUCAACACCUUGAUGAACAUGUUCAGUGUGCUUGGUGAUGGUGGUGGCCUUGGUGGUCGAAAUGCUUCUAAUGGCUCUGGACCGCCAUGCUUGCGUCUGCCGCGGGACGUCCACGCCGCCAUCGCCCGUGAGCAGCUCCGACAGCCUCAUCGUCGCGUUGCACCUGCACUUGUGUCGCAGGCUCGGGUUACCGUCGGUGCUCACGCCGAGGAAGGCAUGAUCCAUGCGGAGCAGCCCAAGGCGCGAUGCCACCUCCGCUGUCACGCAUGAUGAGCUGCUUCGCCUCUGGCACCGCCUUGUUCCUUCGCGAUCUCACAUUGGACGGUGGAUGAACUUGGGCUUCCAAGAUCCGUAAUACAAGCUGCGGACAAAACCUGUAAACAUGCUGGAUGAACUGGAGCAGCUAUUGAAAGGUAACUCUAUGGUGAAAGAGCUAACGCCUAGGACAAAUGACUACCUUGUUUCAUUUCGAGAAUGCAUGUCCACCAUGAUUUUAUCUGUUAAUUUGAACAAAAUUCAUGUCAAAGCACGAUAGGUACUUCUUGAUAUUUCCUUGAUUUGCACAGUGAUUGAGUGAGCUUUUAAGGGUACGAAUGUAGCAGCCUAGAAUAAUUCUAUAUUUACUUACUACUAUAAAGAGCGGGAGCAAAAUAUAGCUAUACAGUUGAUGUAUAUUUAGCAUAUCAAACAAUGCUCAAGAUACUUAAUUAAUUGCAUACUAUAGUUAGGCUGUAUAUACCAAUGCAAUGGUCACUAGCAAGAUAAUGCAGCCUCACAGUCUUAUGACAUCAGCCAAUAUAUAAAUUAGACCAUUUUUGUUGCUGCAACUGCAACUAAUACUAUGUUGAAGUGUUUUUUGUUAACUCUGCUCUGAAAAUGCUUUUUUGCUUCACUCUUUGACAUAUCUAUAUGACUAUAUAGCUGAUGCCUGUUUUUACUAUAUGCUUAUCAUGAAUCUCAUGUUUUCCAUAUGAAUAAUGCUAGCUGUUGCAACAUCUUCGUUGGAGCUAAUGAUACAUUUAAUCCUAGACUUGAUGGCAAAGAACGGGUGCAAUUUUUUGUCUCUCUAUUUCCUAUUUAUGUUGCACAAAUAAUUGUUUCCUUUUGUUAUCCAAACAAAUAAUUACUUCCUUCUCUCCACCCUUUUCUCCAGUUGUAGCGAGUGAGUUUUAGUAAGGGAUAAACAAUAGUAGGAAGAACUCUGUUGUGUUUCAAUCUCGAGUAUUUGAUGGAUGGGGCAUUGUUCUAUAGAUGGUGUAUACAUAAAUGAUCUUAACUGUCAUUUUGGUCAAAACCACAAUAGUUCUACUUAUGUUAGAAAAUCAAAAGAUUUAAGUGUCUUCCACGGUUUAAAGUUCAUGAUGAGCAAAUUUGACUUAUUUUUAAUUGUUUAUCAUAUUUUGAGAAUAAUUUUGCUGCCUAUUCAACAGAUACCAUGGGGGGAGCAUUUGAUCUAGCUAGCUGGCAAACAAGAUUUGGUGGUAACUGUUUAUGAUGAAACAAAUAUUUCGAAUCAUUAAUUGCUAUGUUUGUGUCUGCAUCCUGUCAGCAAUUAGGAUGUGACAGGACAUGGCCUCCCUCCAAUGCAAAAAUCCCAAAAGCUCCUUGCAGACACACUUAUUUGCAUUCUUUGCGCUGACAUGCAGUUAGGAUGCGACAGGGCCUCCCUCCAAUGCAAAAUCACAUUAACCAUGUCACCGCUGUCAAUUGUUUUCUUGAGUUUGUUCCCAAAACCUCUUAAUUAUUAUUGCCCACGGAUAGUCAUGUUAUCUACAUAAUCCGUUUUUGCCACUCUUCAGGGUUCUGCAUUGUGAAUAGAGGUUCAUCUUUGUGAUUAGAUUGCCACCGCCGCUGCUUUCUACUCAUUCGACGAAUGUUUUGCAAAGAAGAAAUCUGGUUUAUCUUACCCUCGAUUCCUUCCUAUGAUACAACUAACAAAAUGAAUUGGUACAUUCAGGUAUCUUUAAAACCUUUUCACUUCCAAAUUAGAAUGAUAUCAUGCUCAAGAGGUAACAUUUUCUGAUGUUUUUUAUUUUAAUAGUAAUUAUUGGUUGCUGACUUCUUUAAAACUAUUUGUGUCGUACUUCAAGCAUCUUCUACACUGCAGCUAAGCUUUGAAGAGUUAUGGUCUCAUAUAAAAUAGGUAAUUUUGUACUAAUUGUUUUCUUUAUUUUCCCAAAUGUGUGCCACUUCCUUUAGUAUUUUUGCAGUGCAGACGAUUGAAAACUACUGUUUUAUAUCACCUCUCUGUCAUAGGAAUAGUUUACUACUCUAAUGCUCAUUCUAUUAACACUAACAAAAAGAUAUAUCGCUUGAAAACAGGUAUGUAUUUCAAUCUUCUAGAUUUAUAUUUCUUUCUUUAUAUAUACAAAACAGAAACGAUUGAAAACUAUUGUUUCCCGUCACCUCCUGUCGUAGUAAGUGUUUCCCGUCACCUCUCUGUCGUAGGAAGAAUUUACUGCCCUAUUACUCAUCUUAUUAACUCUGACAAAAAAUCUCACUUUAAGAUAGGUACAUAUUUCAAUCUUAAUUCUAGAUUUAUGUUUCGUUCUGUACAUAGUGGUUUCAUUUUUUCUCCCCUUUCUCUCGUCAUAUGAAUAUUUUACUCCAUUGGCUGUUCUAUUUACUUUAAAAACGUGCCAUAAAAUAUGUGUGUUUCACUAUUAAAAAAAUAUCCCUUCACUUAUGUAUUAGUGUUAGAAUUACAAUUAUUUUUUCUUUUCCCAAAAGUUUAGAAAUGUUUUAAGCGAACUAUGGAUCUUUAUGUUUGUGAUAAUGUGUGCACAUCUUAGCCCCUCAAUAUGAGGAUUUCCAAUUUUCUACAAUGGUGGGAGAGAUCUUCAACUAUUGUUUCUGACACUUGAAAGGAUGGCUUGGACCCUCUUAUUAUCCUGGGAGCCUGGGUGGUUUGGAAGCAUAGAAACAGAGUGGUUUGGAAGCAUAGAAACAGAGUGAUGUUCGGUAGAGUUUCUUCCAACCUCACUCUUAUUCUGGAGUCCGCUAAUGAGGAAAGCGAGAAAUGGCAAGCUGCAGGAGCCAAGGGUUAUCCUUUCUGGCUGCUCCAAGCCAUAUAAUUUAGGGUGGUUGGAUCCUUCAUGGAUAUUUUCAUG